rnacentral:rRNA from 1 species
UACGGGGGGGGCAAGCGUUGUUCGGAAUUACUGGGCGUAAAGGGCUCGUAGGUGGCCAACUAAGUCAAACGUGAAAUCCCUCGGGCUUAACCGGGGAACUGCGUUUGAUACUGGAUGGCUUGAGUUUGGGAGAGGGAUGCGGAAUUCCAGGUGUAGCGGUGAAAUGCGUAGAUAUCUGGAGGAACACCGGUGGCGAAGGCGGCAUCCUGGACCAAUACUGACGCU